UGUUUAUGUCGUGAGGUCGUUUGAAAAAUAGCAUUUAGGCAGUGUUUUUCAGCUUUUUUUAACGCCAUGCCCUUGUGCAUGGCGUCCACAUAUGAGGACAAUUAAAUAAACUCCAAUAUUUUGCUUAUCAUGGUAAUAUUCUCCAAACCACAUUGGUAAGAUAUGUUUCGUGAAACAUUGAAACCUGAUUUAAAUUUUGCUUUUCCCCUCCAGAUUUGCCUGCACACUGCACCACGACAUUGCACCACAUAACACACACAUUACGAAACCAACAGUUAUUUUAAGAACUCCUGUCUGUCUGUCUGUGUCUGACUGACUGAUGGUCUGUCUGUCUGACUGACUGACUGUCUGUCUGUCUGACGGACCGUCUGUGUCCUUAUUUUCUCUGGCCGGUAGGUUCACUGCAAUGCUUAAAAAAAAAUCAUAUUUCAUAUCCAGGUUUAUAAAAACAGUUACUAAUGCGCUAUAUUUGUGUGUGUUUCUACCCUAGAGUAUGUCUGAGAGAAAUAAAGAAGCUACUUUGAUUGACCUUGUGUUGCCUUCGGAAAACAUGCUGCAAAUUAGGAGAUGGUGGUGUCUCGCUCUCCUGCAGAACUUCCCCAUACCGUCUGAAGAAGACCGAUUGCAGGACAGAAAACGGCGACGAGUGCAAGGAGGGCUACAGGUGAGAGGUCAUGUGAUU